rnacentral:lncRNA from 1 species
GAAGGUUCCUCCAUAUCUCUUUUAACGAUUGCAGCGCUGCACCUGCAUUUUGUUCACGAGUACUCGAAUCAUUUCUCGAUGUAAAUGUAUCAAAUCGUCUAUAACCACUCAGUUUUUUUUCACUUACCGUCACGAGGGUCUGUGGCAGAUAAACUGACAUGAACUGCUGCACUGAAGAACAUAACAAAAGUAAGCAAUCCCCUCAUCGUUGCUAUCACACCCGAAUGCAGCUGGGCUAGCUAUCCCCAAAAAUGGUAUUGCUUGAUUUCGUUUCAGAAUCAACUAUACGCUAAGCAAAGGAGAUUGACCAGCAGCUGGAUCUGAUUACGCAGUGGCAUUGUGGAAUUGGCUGCAGUUUGAGAGGCAAACAGAGGAAGCGAAGAGUUAAGAGAAGUAAAAAGAAGGCAAAAGCGGAAAAAGGAAGGUACGUGGUAGUUAAAUUCUGCUAAAAUUUCAUAUAAAUUUGAUCAACUUUACUUGUGCCCAUCAGAUUGAAUGAUGUUAUCUUGUCUUAGAAGCCACUCUAUUGCCCCCCUCCCAUACCAACCACAAGUAUCUAGUAGGAUUAGUUAAGGGAAAAUGGAGCAUCAUGAUUAGAUCUCAUCUGCUAGUUACUACAAACUCAAGUCUUCUAAACCCCACUAACAAUCUUACAUAACAACCUAUGUCAAUGUGCAAUGUGUAAUGAUUCGACAUUUUUUUCAUUGAUAGUGAUAGCGGCGUGAUCAGGAUUUUGGCCAAGUGGGGUCCAUAAAAAAAUUAGUAAUUUUUUUUAAAUCUUCUCCUUUAGUAAUACUCCAUGAGGAAUUCUCAUGUCGAAAAAGGAUUACACAAUUUAUUGAUUACAUGAAAUGCUAACAACAUCUUUCUAUAUAUAGCCACAACCACAUAUUUAAUUAUUUAAUCUCUUAUUUGAUUGUCAAGUAAUCGAAUCAUACGAGUUUUGACUUAUUUUAAGUGGGGUUUAAAGUUCGAUGAUGUGUAGAUCAUCGAACAUCCCCUUUUUAACUUAGUGACACUAUAAUAUCCUUGCAUUUCAAAUACCUAUAUUUCGAAAUACAACCAUCGAUACACACCUGAAAUCUUAUUUCUCCCAUUAUGUACAUAGAUUCUAUGUCUACAAGCAUCACUAUCAUACAAAGCAUCAAAAUAUCAAAUCCAGUUCAUCUGCAGGCAAUGGCUGGCUGAUCAGCAUCAGAUUUCUGAAACGACUCUGAAGUGAGAGAUCUGGAUGUUUUCAACAGCAAACUUCUUGAAGUUGCUGCCUUUCCUG